rnacentral:rRNA from 1 species
ACCGUGCGGGGUAGAGCACUGGAUGGGCUAGGGCCGCCCACAGCGGUACCAAACCCAACCAAACUCCGAAUACGCACGAGUACUGCUCGGGAGACACACGGCGGGUGCUAACGUCCGUCGUGGAGAGGGAAACAACCCUGACCGACAGCUAAGGCCCCCAAUUCGUGGCUAAGUGGGAAAGGAUGUGGGAAUCCCAAAACAACCAGGAGGUUGGCUUAGAAGCAGCCAUCCUUGAAAGAGUGCGUAAUAGCUCACUGGUCAAGUGAUUCCGCGCCGACAAUGUAGCGGGGCUCAAGUACACCGCCGAAACCGUGGCAUUCAGUUUUGCUGGAUGGGUAGGGGAGCGUCGUUCACGAGGUGAAGCCAGCGGGUAACUUCUGGUGGAUUGUGGACGAGUGAGAAUGCAGGCAUGAGUAGCGAAAACCGUGAGGGAAGGGUGAAAGAACCCCCAUCGGGGAGUGAAAUAGAACAUGAAACCGAAGCUCCCAAGCAGUGGGAGGAGCCCCGGGGCUCUGACCGCGUGCCCUGUUGGAAGAAAUAGGCCGGGCUCAAUAGGCAGUGGCUUGGUUUAAGGAAACCCACCGGAGCCGUAGCGAAAGGCGAGUCUUUCAGAGGGCAAAUUGUCACUGCUUAUGGGCCCGAAACCUGGGGUGAUCUAACCCAUUACCAGAGUGAAGCUUGGGUGACUUAAGUGGAGGACCGAAACCCGACUCUGACGUUGUCGAUGAAAUCAGCGGAUGAAGUUUGUGGUUAGGGGCGAAAUGCCCGAGCCCAGAGCUAGCUGGUUUCUCCCCGGAAAUGCGUUGGAGGCCAGCAGUUGACUGGAAUCUAGGGGUAAAGCACUGUUUCGGUGCGGGCCGCGAGAGCGGUACCAAAUCGGGGCAAACUCUGAAUACUAGAUAUGACCUCAAAAUAAUAGGGGUCCAAGGUUCGGCCAGUGAGACGAUGGGAUAAGCUUCAAUCGUCGAGAGGCAAACAGCCCCGGAUCACCAGCUAAGGCCCCUAAAUGACCGCUCAGUUGAUAAAAGGUUAUGACCGCUCAGUGAUAAAGGAGGUGGGGUUGCAGAGACAAGCCAGAGGAGGUAGGGGUGCAGAGACAGCCAGGAGGAUUUGCCUAAAAAGCAGCCACCCUUUUGAAAAGGUGCGCGUAAUGAAGCAGCCACCCUUGAAAGAGUGCGUAACUGCUCACUGAUAUCGAGCGCUCCUUGGUGCCGAAGAUGUGAACGGGGCUAGCGAUCUGCCGAAGCUGUGGGAUGUAAAAAUAAUGCAUCGGCAGGGGUGAGCGUUCCGCCUUAGGGGAAAGCAACCGCGCGAGCGGGGGGGGACGGGGCGGGAAGAGAGAAAAUGUUCGGGCUUUAGUAACGCAAACAUUGGGUGGAGAAUCCAAUGCCCCGAAAACCCAAAGAUCCAAUGCCCCGAAAACCAACCAAUGCCCCGAAAACCCAAGGGUUCCUCCGCAAGUUUCGUCCGCGGGGGUUGAGUCAGGGCCCUAAGAUCAGGCCGGGGCCGUAGUCGAUGGCAACAAGAAUAUUUCCCUGUACUACCCCUUGGUUGGGUCCCGGAGGGACGGGAAGGAGGCUAGGUUAGCCGAAAGAUGGGUUAUCGGUUCAAGGGACGCAAAGGUGCCCCCGCUUUUCAGGGUAAGAAGGGGUUAGAGAAAAUGCCCCGAGCCAAUGGUUCGAAGUACCAGGCCGCUACGGCGCCGAAGUAAACCCAUGCAUACUCCCAGGAAAAGCUCGAACGAACCUUCAACACAACAGGGGUACCUGUACCCCAAACCGACACAGGUGGGUAGGGUAGAGAGAAUACCUAGGGGCGCGAGACAAUCUCUCUAAGGAACUCGGCAAAAUACCCCCGCGUAACUUCGGGAGAAGGGGUGCCUCCUCACAAAGGGGGUCGCAGUGACCAGGCCCGGGCGACUGUUUACCAAAAACACAGGUCCUCCGGCAAAGCGGGUAGACCAUGUAUGGGGGCUGGACGCCCUGCCCAGGUGCCGGAAGGUCUCAAGGAAGUUGGUGACCUGAUGAGACAGGGGCCGGCGCGAAGCCCCGGUAAACGGCGGCCGUGCAAUAACGGUUCCUAAGUAGCGAAACUUUGUCGGGUAAGUUCCGACCCUCACGAAGUCGUAAAGAUCUGGGCACUGUCUCUCGGAGAGAAAGGCCUCGGUAAGUUCCCGACCUGCACGAAUGGCGUAACGACUUCCCCACUGUCUCCAGGACAUGCUCAGCGAAAUUGAAUUCCCCGUGAAGAUGCGGGGUACCCGCGGUUAGACGGAAAGACCCCGUGCACCUUUACUGCAGCUUUGCGCUGGCCAUCGUGUCGGCAUGUGUAGGAUAGGUGGUAGGCUUUGAAGUUCGGGCGCCAGCCUGGAUGGAGCCGUCCUUGAAAUACCACCCUUGACGAGAUGGUGGUCUAACCGCACCCCGUGAUCCGGGGUCGGGACCGCGCAUGGCAGGCAGUUUGACUGGGGCGGUCGCCUCCCAAAGCGUAACGGAGGCGUACGAAGGUGGGCUCAGAGCGGUCGGAAAUCGCUCGUCGCGUGCAAUGGCAUAAGCCCGCUUGACUGCGAGACGGACAGGUCGAGCAGAGACGAAAGUCGGUCAUAGUGAUCCGGUGGUCACAGUUUCUAUGGGGCGUAGGCCUCCCCAGGUAACGGAAGGCGUGCAAAGGUUUCCUCGGCCGGACCGGAGGAUUGGCCCUCGAGUGCAAAAGGCAGAAGGGGAGCUUGACUGGCAAGACCCCACCCGUCGAGCAGGGACGAAAGCCGGCCUUAGUGAUCCGACGGUGCGAGUUGGGAAGAGGGCCGUCGCUCCGACCAAUCCUGAAAGACCACUCUUUCGUCUAAGGAUGCCUAACCGCCGCACCGAGAAUUCGGGGGGGGGCGGGACACUGCGAGGUGGGUAGUUUAUCUGGGGCGGAUGCCUCCUAAAGAGUAACGGAGGUGCGCGAAGGUAGGCUCAAGCUAAGAUUCUGCUCGUGAGCGUAAUGGUAUAAGCCUGCCUGACUGUGAGACCGACUGGUCGAACAGAGACGAAAGUCGGCCAUAGUGAUCCGGGAGUCCCGUGUGGAAGGGCUCUCGCUCAACGGAUCAAAGGUACGCCGGGGAUAACAGGCUGAUGACUCCCAAGAGCUCUUAUCGACGGAG